GGGGGGGGGGGGGGGGGGGCGGGGGGGGGGGGGGGCGGGCGGGCGGGCGCGGGGUGGGGGGGGGGCUGGGGGGGCGGACGGGGGGGUGGCACGUGGGGAGCCGGCCCGUGACUUGGGGAGAACUUCCGGCAAGUGCGGCUAAUCGCGGAUGUGAGCUCCUGCUGCAUGGUGGGGGGUGGGAAGGUUGGGCGGUUGGGGAUGGACUCGCGGCUUAUCAGCUGGUUGGUGGGGGAGUGGCUGACCAAGGCUUUGACGGGUAGCCGGCCUGGGAGGGUGAACGGCCACAUUGGGACUGAGAUACGGCCCAGACUCCUACGGGAGGCAGCAGUGGGGAAUAUUGCACAAUGGGCGGAAGCCUGAUGCAGCAACGCCGCGUGCGGGAUGACGGCCUUCGGGUUGUAAACCGCUUUCGCCUGUGACGAAGCGUGAGUGACGGUAAUGGGUAAAGAAGCACCGGCUAACUACGUG
rnacentral:rRNA from 1 species